GAUGACACCUGCCAGUUGGACAUGUACACCUUACAGUCCUUCCAUACACCGAAUAUACUAGCCCUAUUGCUUAUAGUAUCUGAGAUAUGGACUUGACCAACAAAACUUAACCUUGUUCACUGAUCCAUGAAAUGAGGUCGAGGUCCAGUGAAAACUGUCUGACAGACACGAGGACCUUGCAAGGUACGCACAUAUCAAAUAUAGUUAUCCUAUUACUUAUAAUAAGAGAGAAU
rnacentral:lncRNA from 1 species